CCUACGGGAGGCAGCAGUGGGGAAUAUUGGACAAUGGGCGAAAGCCUGAUCCAGCCAUGCCGCGUGUGUGAAGAAGGCCUUCGGGUGGUAAAGCACUUUCAGUGGGGAAGAAAGCCUUGGGGCUAAUACCCUCGAGGAAGGACAUCACCCACAGAAGAAGCACCGGCUAACUCCGUGCCAGCAGCCGCGGUAAUCCGGAGGGUGCGAGCGUUAAUCGGAAUUACUGGGCGUAAAGCGCGCGUAGGCGGUCUGAUAAGCCGGUUGUGAAAGCCCCGGGCUCAACCUGGGAACGGCAUCCGGAACUGUCAGGCUAGAGUGCAGGAGAGGAAGGUAGAAUUCCCGGUGUAGCGGUGAAAUGCGUAGAGAUCGGGAGGAAUACCAGUGGCGAAGGCGGCCUUCUGGACUGACACUGACGCUGAGGUGCGAAAGCGUGGGUAGCAAACAGGAUUAGAUACCCGAGUAGUC
rnacentral:rRNA from 1 species